rnacentral:rRNA from 1 species
GAUUCCCUUAGUAACGGCGAGCGAAGCGGGAAUAGCCCAGACCAAAAUCUGCAGGUCUUUGGCCUGCCAGAACUGUGGUCUUUGCGCCGGGGAUAUGCCAGCGGCACGAACCUUCUCAAGUUCCUUGGAAAGGGGCCUCCCAGAGAGGGUGCUAGGCCUGUAGGUGGGGGGUUCGUUCGUUGGCGCUUCCACGGCCUUAGAGUCGGGUUGUUUGGGAAUGCAGCCCUAAGUCGGUGGUAUGCUCCAUCUAAGGCUAAAUACUAGCACGAGUCCGAUAGCGAACAAGUACCGUGAGGGAAAGUUGAAAAGUACUUUGAAGAGAGAGUUAAAGAGUACGUGAAACCUGUAAGAAGCAAACGGAUGAGGCCACGUUAGGCGCGUCGGUAUUCAGGCUCGCGGUUCCGGUGCGGCGCGGGGGCUGGGCGCGGACUUGUCCGUGCCCGUUUCUGUGUCAGCUGGGUCGCGUGCUGCACUUGCCGGCGCGUCGGUAUGGGGGACCGGUUGUCGGUCGACGAGCAAGCUCGCGGUGCAGGUGGCUCGCUCCUCGGAGAGAGUGUUACAGGCCGCGUGUGGGUGUCGACCGGUGACCGAGGACGGAAGGUCUCCCCUUGUCUGGUGUCUCUACCGACCCGUCUUGAAACACGGACCAAGGAGUCUAACAUGUACGCGAGUCGAAGGGUGGUAAACCCCACGGCGCAACGAAAGUAAAGGCGGCCUCGCGUCGCUGAGGUGGGAUCUUCUCCUCCGGGGGGAGCGCACCACCGGCCCAUACCGCUUCCCACUUCGGUGCGGAUUGGUGUGGAGCAAGAGCGUCCACGUUGGGACCCGAAAGAUGGUGAACUAUGCC